UACGAAGGGGGCUAGCGUUGUUCGGAUUUACUGGGCGUAAAGCGCACGUAGGCGGAUCGUUAAGUCGGGGGUGAAAUCCUGGAGCUCAACUCCAGAACUGCCUUCGAUACUGGCGAUCUUGAGUCCGGAAGAGGUGAGUGGAACUCCUAGUGUAGAGGUGGAAUUCGUAGAUAUUAGGAAGAACACCAGUGCGAAGGGCGGCUCACUGGUCCGGUACUGACGCUGAGGUGCGAAAGCGUUGGGAGCAACAGGGAUUAAGAAACCCAGU
rnacentral:rRNA from 1 species